GGAAGCCGCCUUCAAGAUGAGAUACCUCAUUGCAUAAGCAAGUAAGGCGUCCUGUAGACGACAGGGUACAUAGGCCGGAGGUGGAAGCACGGCAACGUGUGGAGCUGACCGGUACUAAUACGCCGAGGCCUUAACCUC
rfam:Dethiosulfovibrio salsuginis strain TSBA 82 genome assembly, contig: Ga0105850_118